CUCACAACAAUUAAGUCAGGGGUGGAGGGGCUCAGGGGGACAACAGUACUGGGGGGAAUAUUAACUUCAAUUUCAACACAUGGACUUUAGGUUUCCUAACAAUUUCCAAGGGUUUUAGGAGCUCUGUGUGAGGAAUCGGGAUAGAGAUCAAAGACACAUUUCUUCUUUCUUUCUUUUUCCUGUGGUGCUGGGGAUGGAGCCCAGGGUUUUGGGCAUGCUAGACAAGUGCUCUACCACUGAGCUGCACUCCAGCCCUGAGUUGUAGGUAUCUGUGAUAAAUCCACAUCAUAGAAACAGGUUUCACAGACAGUUGAAUGCAUUGGCCUGGGGUUAAGGAAAUAUGUCUGAGACCAUAGGGGAGAGUUGAAUUCUGUAGGGUGAAUGGGAGAACCCACAGAAAGGGCAUAAGUGGAAAUGUGAGGACUGGUUCUACCCAAAGGCACACAAACACAGUGGCUGAGCAGAGCUGAGAACUUGCCCAGGAAGAGGAAGUAGAGAUUAGGGUGGCUGGGGAGGCAGGAGGGCCAAGGCGUGCUAGGCCCUGGGCUGAGGCAGGAACCCUCCAGGGGCAUGGUCAGCAUGUCACCUGUGGGUCUGCCUGGAGCUCCUCCUGCUGUGGGGACAGGAGCCAAACUAGAGUGGGUAGCACAGCAAAGGGGACAGCGGUGGAUACAACUGUGCAAGCUGCUAUUGCCUUCUGCUCUCAGAGGUCAGGUCUGCUGCACUACUGCAAUGCCUUAUUGACUGUCUUGUGUGUGUGUGUGUGUGUGUGUGUGUGGGGUGCUGGGGUGAGACACAGGGCCUCCUGCCUACUAGGCGAGCGCUCUGCCGUGCUAAACCUCCAGCCCUCUUCUGUGUUUAAAAAAGUCAAAGUUAAUUCCCCUUUCUGAGAGAAUCCAUCUGCGGAUGAGCCAUGGCCUGGCAACCUUUGCUGCUGACUUCUCAUCUUCCCGGUGCCUGGGUGCUGUGUGAAGCCCUGUGUGGGCGUCUGCAUCUGUCUGCUUGGCCACUCUUUGGUCCCACCUGGAGCACACCAACUCUCCCAGGAUCCUCCUCCUACCUGUGUUCUUAUGUGGAUGAGGGUUAUGGAAAAGAAAAUCAUCAUGGCCAAGUUAAAACUUUCCACUUGUAUAUUUCUGGUACCUCAGGUUCCAAUUUAAAACAUUAGAAUAUUCUGGAACACAUAUGAAAUCCAUGUCCAUUUUGGACCACCCAGAUUCAGAACAUAUAAUGAGAAACUACAGAAACCAUCUUGUAGGUGAUGCAGCUGUUGACUCUCAGAUUCAGUUUUAAGAAGGUCAGAGGAAGGAAUAAAGAGCAUUUAGAUUUGAAAUUCCCAAACCAGGCAACAGAGAACUUAUUAGGAGGUAGAUGGGGGAGGCAUAGGGUUCCCUCUCUCUCCAUCUCUCUUCUUCCCUCCCUUCCUCCAGGCAGACUACAGGUCAGAAAGCAGGAGGUUUGCAGAAAUGUUGAUAAUUGUUAAUAACCCUCCUCUUAUGGGAUUCACUCAGCAGACGGCAUAAACGCAGUAGCCUGACCCACCUGAACUCUCUGUCCAUUCCAUUCUUCACGGUGGUCAACCCCACAUUCCUUUGGAGAAUCUGCUCCUCCAGGAGUCGUAUUCUCCAAGCACAUAUUUUCGGAUGUCGCUCGUGGCGCGGGAUUAAAACUUCACGUGUUCUCUGCUAUUUAUAGAAUUAUCAGCCGCAAGGUUUUCACUGUUCUUUCUUCUUAAGCGCUGGGAUUCAGCCGUUCCGCGGAGGAAUGCUGCCCUCCCUCCCCACCGUCCCUCCCCACCUCCCGACCCGGCGGCGGCAGCGCGCCCUCCCUCCGGGGGGCCGAGUCAGGAGCGUGACGCAGGAGUGGGCUCUUCCUGGACGCCCAGCCUCGCGGGCGCAGCACCCACCAGAGGCGCCGAGCUCCGCGCGGUGCGCGCCCAGUCGGCCCCAUUGCACCCGCUGCGCGCGUCCGCCAAAGGCCUUCCAGCUCACCACGCUGCCCAGCCAGAGGGACAAUGGGCACGGGGGAUUUCAUCUGCAUCUCCAUGACUGGAGGGGCGCCUUGGGGGUUCCGGCUGCAGGGCGGCAAGGAGCAGAAGCAGCCUCUACAAGUGGCGAAGGUAAGCGGGGAGCAGGGUCAAGGUUGUG
rnacentral:lncRNA from 1 species